rnacentral:rRNA from 1 species
AUUGAACGCUGGCGGCAGGCCUAACACAUGCAAGUCGAGCGGAUGAAGGGAGCUUGCUCCUGGAUUCAGCGGCGGACGGGUGAGUAAUGCCUAGGAAUCUGCCUGGUAGUGGGGGAUAACGUCCGGAAACGGGCGCUAAUACCGCAUACGUCCUGAGGGAGAAAGUGGGGGAUCUUCGGACCUCACGCUAUCAGAUGAGCCUAGGUCGGAUUAGCUAGUUGGUGGGGUAAAGGCCUACCAAGGCGACGAUCCGUAACUGGUCUGAGAGGAUGAUCAGUCACACUGGAACUGAGACACGGUCCAGACUCCUACGGGAGGAAGCAGUGGGGAAUAUUGGACAAUGGGCGAAAGCCUGAUCCAGCCAUGCCGCGUGUGUGAAGAAGGUCUUCGGAUUGUAAAGCACUUUAAGUUGGGAGGAAGGGCAGUAAGUUAAUACCUUGCUGUUUUGACGUUACCAACAGAAUAAGCACCGGCUAACUUCGUG